rnacentral:rRNA from 1 species
CAGUAGCCGCGGUAAUACGUAGGUGGCAAGCGUUGUCCGGAAUUAUUGGGCGUAAAGGGCUCGCAGGCGGUUUCUUAAGUCUGAUGUGAAAGCCCCCGGCUCAACCGGGGAGGGUCAUUGGAAACUGGGAAACUUGAGUGCAGAAGAGGAGAGUGGAAUUCCACGUGUAGCGGUGAAAUGCGUAGAGAUGUGGAGGAACACCAGUGGCGAAGGCGACUCUCUGGUCUGUAACUGACGCUGAGGAGCGAAAGCGUGGGGAGCGAACAGGAUUAGAUACCCGUGUAGUCCCUGUCUCUUAUAC